CCUACGGGAGGCAGCAGUGAGGAAUAUUGGUCAAUGGGCGAGAGUCUGAACCAGCCAAGUCGCGUGAAGGAUGAAGGAUCUAUGGUUUGUAAACUUCUUUUAUAUGGGAAUAAAGUGAGGAACGUGUUCCUUUUUGUAUGUACCAUAUGAAUAAGCAUCGGCUAACUCCGUGCCAGCAGCCGCGGUAAUACGGAGGAUGCGAGCGUUAUCCGGAUUUAUUGGGUUUAAAGGGUGCGUAGGUGGUUAAUUAAGUCAGCGGUGAAAGUUUGGGGCUCAACCAUAAAAUUGCCGUUGAAACUGGUUGACUUGAGUAUAUUUGAGGUAGGCGGAAUGCGUGGUGUAGCGGUGAAAUGCAUAGAUAUCACGCAGAACUCCGAUUGCGAAGGCAGCUUACUAAACUAUAACUGACACUGAAGCACGAAAGCGUGGGGAUCAAACAGGAUUAGAUACCCUUGUAGUC
rnacentral:rRNA from 1 species